UAUCAAAAACAUGUCCUUUANAAUUGAAUUUAAGGUCUANCCUGCCCACUGAUUAAUUAAAUGGCCGCAGUAUUUUAACUGUGCAAAGGUAGCAUAAUCAUUAGUCUUUUAAUUGAAGGCUUGUAUGAAUGGUUGGACAAAAUAUAUAUUGUUUCAUAUAAAUUUAUAGAACUUUAUUUUUUAGUCAAAAAGCUAAAAUUUAAUUAAAAGACGAGAAGACCCUAUAGAUCUUUAUAAUUAUUAAGUUUAAUUUAUAAAGAAUAUUUUAUUUUUAAUUUAUAUAAUUAUUUUAUUGGGGUGAUAGUAAGAUUUAUUUAACUCUUAUGUAAUUAAUUACAUAAAUUAAUGAUUAGUUGAUCCAGUAUUAUUGAUUAGUAAAAUAAGUUACCUUAGGGAUAACAGCGUAAUUUUUUUAGAGAGUUCAUAUCGAUAAAAAGGAUUGCGACCUCGAUGUUGGAUUAAGAGAUAAGUUUGGGCGCAGCCGUUCAAAUUUAAAGUCUGUUCGACUUUUUAAUUCUUACAUGAUCUGAGUUCAAACCGGA
rnacentral:rRNA from 1 species